rnacentral:rRNA from 1 species
GACGAACGCUGGCGGCGUGCCUAAUACAUGCAAGUCGAGCGCUGAAGGUUGGUUCUUGUACCGACUGGAUGAGCAGCGGACGGGUGAGUAACGCGUGGGGAAUCUGCCUUGGGGCGGGGGACAACAUUUGGAAACGAAUGCUAAUACCGCAUAAAAACUUUAAACACAAGUUUUAAGUUUGAAAGAUGCAAUUGCAUCACUCAAAGAUGAUCCCGAGUUGUAUUAGCUAGUUGGUGAGGGAAAGGCUCACCAAGGCGAAGCUACAUAGCCGACCUGAGAGGGAGGUCGACUCACAUGGGAAUUGGAAACGGGCCAAGACCCCACGGGAAGGAGCAGGAGGGGAACUUCGGAAAAGGACGGAAGGCUGAACGAGGCAAGCCGGGGGGGUGGAGAAGGGUUUCGGGUCGUAAAACUAUGUUGGUAGGGAAGAACGUGGGUGAGAGUGGAAAGCUCAUGAAGUGACGGUAACUACAGAGAAAGCGACGGCUAACUACGUG